GACGAACGCUGGCGGCGUGCUUAACACAUGCAAGUCGAGCGGAAAGGCCCUUCGGGUACUCGAGCGGCGAACGGGUGAGUAACACGUGAGCAAUCUGCCCUUGACUCUGGGAUAACUUCGGGAAACCGGAGCUAAUACCGGAUAUGACAUCUGGCCGCAUGGUCUGGGUGUGGAAAGAUUUAUCGGUCAGGGAUGAGCUCGCGGCCUAUCAGCUUGUUGGUGGGGUAANGGCCCACCAAGGCGACGACGGGUAGCCGGCCUGAGAGGGCGACCGGCCACACUGGGACUGAGACACGGCCCAGACUCCUACGGGAGGCAGCAGUGGGGAAUAUUGCGCAAUGGGCGAAAGCCUGACGCAGCGACGCCGCGUGAGGGAUGAAGGCC
rnacentral:rRNA from 1 species